rnacentral:tRNA from 1 species
GCGGAAGUAGUUCAGCGGUAGAAUACAACCUUGCCAAGGUUGGGGUCGCGGGUUCGAACCCCGUCUUCCGCUCCA